rnacentral:lncRNA from 1 species
GAGGUAGUAAGUGAUAUAUAAAAAUGGAGACUUGAAUCCAGGACUUCAAUCCCCAGAAGUCCUUGCUCCACUUCCCCAGAAUGCUUUGUAAUCUCACUGAAUUCUCACCUGGGACGAGAGCAGAUCAUUAUUUAAAGGGUCUCUGCCCACAGCGGGGUCUCUUCUCUUCCUGUCUCCUCUGGCAAGCAGAACCGUCUCAUGAUGUGGAUGUGUCUUGAUAUUUUUAAAUUGCUGGAGGCUGCAAAAAGUGAAAAUGACAAGAAUUCAAUUAGUGAUGCCUAACUAGAGUCCAGUGGUUGAAUUGCUUUGAAGAUUAUUUGUUAGCAUAAAUAAUUUAAAGCUCUAAACAGUCCUAGAUGAAAUAUGUGUAAUUCUUCACCAUAUUCAACUCUCUCUGAAGAGAUCAUAAUGUACAGUGUUAUUGAUCCAUUAGAUUAAAACAAUCCUAAACUUUUCUUCCAAUCUAUAUUCCUUGGUCCAGAGAAAUAUAACUGUAAAGGCAUUUUUCUCUGCGAGCCUUACCAUCAAUAAAUAUGCUUCUGCACUCUUA